rnacentral:rRNA from 1 species
AGAAUCAACGCUGGCGGCGUGCCUAACACAUGCAAGUCGAACGAGAAAGUGGAGCAAUCCAUGAGUAAAGUGGCGCACGGGUGAGUAACACGUGACUAACCUACCCUUGAGUGGGGGAUAACCUAGGGAAACCUGGGCUAAUACCGCAUAAUACCUUCGGGUCAAAGGAGCAAUUCGCUUAAGGAGGGGGUCGCGGCCGAUUAGUUAGUUGGCGGGGUAAUGGCCCACCAAGACUAUGAUCGGUAUCCGGCCUGAGAGGGCGCACGGACACACUGGAACUGAAACACGGUCCAGACUCCUACGGGAGGCAGCAGUGGGGAAUUUUGCGCAAUGGGGGAACCCUGACGCAGCAACGCCGCGUGGAGGAUGAAGUCCCUUGGGACGUAAACUCCUUUCGAUCGGGACGAUUAUGACGGUACCGAGAGAAGAAGCCCCGGCUAACUUCGUGCCAGCAGCCGC